UGAACACACACUUUAUUUCUCUCCAUUCCAUGAUUUUGCUAGCCUGAAUUUCCAGGAGCUUCAUGACUACAUUAAAUUAAAAGUGAACGCCUAACUGGUUAUGGUGGCAUAAGCCUAUAACUCUAGCUACUUAGGAAGCAGAGACAGGAGGAUCUCACUUUGGAGGCCAGCCUCAGCAAUUUAGCAAGGCCCUAGCUCAGUGGUAAAGCGCCCCUGGGUUCAACCCGAAAUAUCAGGGGAAAAAAACAAGAUGUCGAGAUAAAUUUUAAUUUCAGCUUAACUUUUAAGAAAACUGUCCAGACAUAUGCUUAAAAAACGUACUCAUCUGAAAUUUAACUGGGCCUCCUGUGUUUUAUUUGGCAACUUCUAGGGACUUCUUCUUUUAAAUAACUUGUUAACGUACUUAAAAAUUUCUAAACGAGAAGUUAAAAAAAAAGUUUGUUUGUUUUUUUUAACAACAGAUGAGGCUCCAUAGCAGUCAGCCUUCUGCCAAAUUUGGCCUAAAAAAGUGGGAAAGAGAAAACAAAAACCACAAGUCUCAGGAGCCUGCGCAUUAAAAGGAGCUGUGCAGCAGCUUUCCCGCCAGUUUUCCGCGGAAUGUAGCACAGCGGCCACGCAGCGGGGGUGGAGCGCUUACGGCUGUGUCCUUGCCAGAUAGGAAAGGAGGUGCCGGAAACUUUAAACGCCGGCCAGAGUACAACGUGUCCACUUAGGCGGCGGUAGGCGCCGCCAUCUUCUUCGCCGGCCGAGACGGGGAACACACGGGCUCCACUUUGCCGGCUAGAGCAGAUUGGGGGGCCUUGCCGCGGCCUCAGCACUCUGGUGACGUGGAAUCGGAGUCCCCCUUUUCGGAGCUGAUUUCUGGUAGCACGUUGAAAUCCGCCAAGGCGGGGAACGAGGACGCCGCCUCGGUCCCGGAUGUAAGAUGGCGGCGCAGGGGGCGGACUGGCUGGGCGGUCACGUGGUGGGGAGUAGCGCGCCAGCCUCCUUAAGUGAUCUUUAUGGUUCGUCCGGACGCACUGGAGCAGCGGAGCGCGAGACGGGUCGUGUGUCCGCGCGUGCCGAGCCGUCGUCACCCAGCCCGCCGCGCAGCCCGGUUUCAGUUUGACAGGGUUUCUGUGUUCUGUUUUCGCCUCUUGCAGAGCUGAGCGGGAUUUCCCCGAAGGAUGCUGGGGAACGGGUGGCUUGGGGACUUCCGGGCUAUCCCUCAGCUUCGUCGGGGCGCUGGAGCCCGCGGCCGUCUCGGCCGGACGCGUCCGCGCGGAGAGCGGGCAAACAGUGGCAUGGCAGGGGUGAGGCGGGAGGGUGCGGGC
rnacentral:lncRNA from 1 species